GGAGGGCGUAUUGAUAAUUUAGAAGAUUGACAGUGAUGUUGAUUGGAAUUAUCUUUAGUGCAGAUUUUGGUGGUAGUAGCAAAAUAUUCAAUAGAGAACAUUGAAGACUGAAGUGGAGAAAGGUUUCACAUGAACAACACUUGGAUGUGAGUUAGUCGAUCCUAAACGGUGGGUUAACUCCAAAUACAUAGAUACUUGUAUCUUGUACCGUGAAAGGGAAACAGGUUAAUAUUCCUGUACUAUAUCAAGGAGGUAAAGUGGCAACACAAAUGAACUCAAAUACAUCAGUAGAAUAACCAGGAAGAGUUCUCUUUUCUUUUUAACGACUUCUCCGCAAGGGGUGUAUAAUGACCAUGGAAUCAAUUUAGUUGGAGAAAUGGUUAAAAGAGUCGGUAGAGUAGUUCAAUUCUGAACUAUCUGGUAGGUUCUAAUGGUACAUAAAAAUUUGAGGGAAUGAUCUUGCUUGAAUAGUCGUACUCAUAACCGCAGCAGGUCUCCAAGGUUAGAAGCCUCUAGUUGGCAGAAUAA
rnacentral:rRNA from 1 species